rnacentral:rRNA from 1 species
UACGAAGGGGGCUAGCGUUGUUCGGAUUUACUGGGCGUAAAGAGCGCGCAGGCGGUCGUUCAAGUCGAGUGUGAAAGCCCCCGGCUCAACUGGGGAGGGUCAUUCGAUACUGAUCGACUCGAAGGCAGGAGAGGGUAGUGGAAUUCCCGGUGUAGUGGUGAAAUGCGUAGAUAUCGGGAGACACCAGUGGCGAAGGCGACUACCUGGCCUGUUCUUGACGCUGAGGCGCGAAAGCUAGGGGAGCAAACGGGAUUAGAAACCUCGGUG